CCUACGGGUGGCAGCAGUGGGGAAUAUUGGGCAAUGGGCGCAAGUCUGACCCAGCAACGCCGCGUGAAUGAUGAAGGCCUUCGGGUUGUAAAGUUCUUUUAUCGGGGACGAAGACAUUGACGGUACCUCAAGAAUAAGCCACGGCUAACUACGUGCCAGCAGCCGCGGUAAUACGUAGGUGGCAAGCGUUAUCCGGAGUGACUGGGAGUAAAGGGCGAGUAGGCGGGUUAGAAAGUGGGAUGUGAAAAUUCGGGGCUCAACCUUGGCCCUGCAGUUGAAACUGUGAUGCUUGAGUGCUGGAGGGGCAAGUGGAAUUCCGGGUGUAGCGGUGGAAUGCGUAGAUAUACGGAGGAACACCAGUGGCGAAGGCGAAUUACUGGACAGUAACUGACGCUGAGGCGCGAAAGCGUGGGGAGCAAACAGGAUUAGAUACCCGUGUAGUC
rnacentral:rRNA from 1 species